rnacentral:rRNA from 1 species
CCUACGGGUCGCACCAGUGGGGAAUAUUGCACAAUGGGCGCAAGCCUGACGCAGCCAUGCCGCGUGUAUGAAGAAGGCCUUCGGGUUGUAAAGUACCUUCAGCGAGGAGGAAGGCAUUAAGGUUAAUAACCUUAGUGAUUGACGUUACUCGCAGAAGAAGCACCGGCUAACUCCGUGCCACCAGCCGCGGUAAGACGGAGGGUGCAAGCGUUAAUCGGAAUUACUGGGCGUAAAGCGCACGCAGGCGGUCUGUCAAGUCGGAUGUGAAAUCCCCGGGCUCAACCUGGGAACUGCAUUCGAAACUGGCAGGCUAGAGUCUUGUAGAGGGGGGUAGAAUUCCAGGUGUAGCGGUGAAAUGCGUAGAGAUCUGGAGGAAUACCGGUGGCGAAGGCGGCCCCCUGGACAAAGACUGACGCUCAGGUGCGAAAGCGUGGGGAGCAAACAGGAUUAGAUACCCGAGUAGUC